rnacentral:rRNA from 1 species
AUACGGAGGGUGCAAGCGUUAUCCGGAUUCAUUGGGUUUAAAGGGUGCGCAGGCGGAAUGAUAAGUCAGUGAUGAAAUCCUACAGCUUAACUGUAGAACUGCCAUUGAUACUGUCAUUCUUGAGUACACUUGAAGUGGGCGGAAUGUAUCAUGUAGCGGUGAAAUGCAUAGAUAUGAUACAGAACUCCGAUAGCGAAGGCAGCUCACUAAAUUGUAACUGACGCUCAGGCACGAAAGCGUGGGGAGCAAACAGGAUUAGAUACCCGAGUAGUCC